CAACCUGCCGCUUACUCGGGGAUAGCCUUUCGAAAGAAAGAUUAAUACCCGAUGGUAUAAAGAGUUCGCAUGUUCUCUUUAUUAAAGAAUUUCGGUAAGCGAUGGGGAUGCGUUCCAUUAGAUUGUUGGCGGGGUAACGGCCCACCAAGUCUACGAUGGAUAGGGGUUCUGAGAGGAAGGUCCCCCACAUUGGAACUGAGACACGGUCCAAACUCCNACGGGAGGCAGCAGUGAGGAAUAUUGGUCAAUGGACGCGAGUCUGAACCAGCCAAGUAGCGUGAAGGAUGACUGCCCUAUGGGUUGUAAACUUCUUUUAUAAAGGAAUAAAGUCGGGUAUGGAUACCCGUUUGCAUGUACUUUAUGAAUAAGGAUCGGCUAACUCCGCGCCAGCAGCCGCGGUAAUACGGAGGAUCCGAGCGUUAUCCGGAUUUAUUGGGUUUAAAGGGAGCGUAGAUGGAUGUUUAAGUCAGUUGUGAAAGUUUGCGGCUCAACCGUAAAAUUGCAGUUGAUACUGGAUAUCUUGAGUGCAGUUGAGGCAGGCGGAAUUCGUGGUGUAGCGGUGAAAUGCUUAGAUAUCACGAAGAACUCCGAUUG
rnacentral:rRNA from 1 species